UUAUGAGAAAGGUUAUGAUUUACAGGUGCAGAUGCAGUUUUUUGCGUUUUGAUUUGAUGCAUAACCUAUAUUCGAAAAUCUACAGCCAUUGCAUACAUUAUAAACGAUCAGAAGAAGCGUAUCUGGCGAACAGCGCAUUGAUUCAUUGUAAUGAAACCGAACUAACGUUGUCAUUUUUUGGAUGUUAUCCUGUAACAAAACUAAAUAUCUUAAAGAUGUGCAGCUUUUUCCUUACUCAAUUACUUGUGGUCUUACAACUUUUAUUUACAAAUCAAUUAUAAAGGCUACAGAUGAGUUUCAUAAACACUGAAAAUGCUAACAUACAGUAAAAUCGUCAUUAAGCUUAACCAGGCAAAUGUCAUUUGAAAAC